CGCGCGUGUCGAUGCAGGCGUGAUGGAACGAAGCGAGUCGAGUAAAGGUGUGCAGUGGUGCACGGCAGCAGGGGCUGCAGUGGCAGUGAGUUGCAGGUGUGCUGCAGGGGCAGCAGGGGGUGCAGGGGCUACGGGCGCGAAGUAGGCAGGCCGGUUGCGGGGCAGCAGUUGUUGCGGGCAAGGCAGCAGCGAACGCAGGUGUGCGUACGGGCUGCGGGGGCAGGUGUGCGCGGGGCAGCAGAUGUGCGGCAGAGCUGCAGGAGCAGCAGGGCAGCGACGCGGGGCUGCAGACG
rnacentral:lncRNA from 1 species